UACUCAUGUAGGAGUAGCAUUACUGUAUGUGAGGGAUUUACCCCCUCCCUAACAGGUGCUGUUUUUUGUACUUCCAAUAUUCUUAUAUAGUUGGUAAAUGUAUUGCUUUGUUGGGAGGAAGUUAUUUGCUUUAUUUAAUAUUUUGUUUUAAUCAUUCUCUCUUCUCUUUGAGGUCACCUGGUCUUGAGUUGCCAUGGAAGCGCGCCCAUGAGCAGUGCUGACAAGGACCUGGUGUUUUCAAUCAGCCUCACUGGGAAUAUCCAUUGUUUGAGAGAGAGGGGAGAUGUUUUCUGGAUUUUGAGUGGGCCCAGAUUGUUUUUGUUUUAGUUUUGAAGUUAUUUGUAAUGAUGUAAAUAUGUUUCUAGGAAUAUAGUUUAGUACAGAUGUUUUUCUAUCUGGAAAUGUAAAGGUUGACUCCACCCCUUAAUUAGUCCAGGUAGGAGCCAAUGCUUUAAACACCAGGUGUGUUAGAUCAGGGAGGAAGUUCUCCCUCCUGUGGUUGGAAUGUAUGUGAUGCUGUGAACUGGAAUGAAAUGUUUGAAGAACAGCAUAAAAAAAAGUCAGAGCUCUACAAUUCCUGGAUUCUGUCUGAUUUUUUUCGUCGCAAACCAACACUUGGUGUCAGGAGUGGGAUGCAACGCCGAUGUCCAGAUAAGAGCUAAUUAUGGGUCCAAAGCAGCAGACGAAAGGCCUCAAAGUGGCAGAAGCAGCGCCAGUGGGGGAGCCAGAGCAGGAAGGAGCUACAGGUCAGUCCAGUGAUGAAACAGCAUCUGUGGACAUGAGCAACAUUGCUGACAUGCUGGAAAGAUGUCUUCAGUUCCAGAGUGACUUUGUCGAAAGAUGGGACAAAGAAAAGAGUAAGCAAGAAAGGAGAUGGCACCAGAUACAAGUUGAAGUUGGCAUCUGAGCGAUGAUCUGGGGAAGCAGGAGAAGACUGGAAAUGAAGCACAGGUGAGGGCCUUCCAGGAUUUGAAGCUGGCACUGUGUCAAGAACCUGUACUGCAGAGCCCAAACUUCACUUUACCCUUCAUCGUUCAGACUGUUGCAACUGCCAAGGGAAUUAGUGGGGUUCUUUUGCAGGGAGAAGCAGAGAAGAAACCAGUUGCCUACAUUAAUAAUAAGUUGUUUCCGUGAGAGACCAGAUAUUUGGUGGUGGAACUGGAGUGUCUGGCUAUCAAUUGGAUGAUUGACUCUCUUAGAUAUUAUCUUUUGGGGCAAGAGUUCACUCUGGAGACUGACCAUCGGGCACUGAAAUGGUUGGAAGCCAUGAAAGACACAAACAGUUGCAUAACACGAUGGUUUCUGUCUCUUCAACUUUAUCGGUUUAAGAUAGGCUACAUUCCAGGAAACGAGAACACAGUCGCAGACUUUUUGUCUCGCUGUGAACCGCAGUCACCUGGUCUUGAGUUGCCAUGGAAGCGCGUCCAUGAGCAGUGCUGACAAGGACCUGGUGUUUUCAAUCAGCCUCACUGGGAAUAUCCAUUGUUUGAGAGAGAGGGGAGAUGUUUUCUGGAUUUUGAGUGGGCCCAGGUUGUUUUUGUUUUAGUUUUGAAGUUAUUUGUAAUGAUGUAAAUAUGUUUCUAGGAAUAUAGUUUAGUACAAAUGUUUUUCUAUCUGGAAAUGUAAAGGUUGACUCCACCCCUUAAUUAGUCCAGGUAGGAGCCAAUGCUUUAAACACCAGGUGUGUUAGAUCAGGGAGGAAGUUCUCCCUCCUGUGGUUGGAAUGUAUGUGAUGCUGUGAACUGGAAUGAAAUGUUUGAAGAACAGCAUAAAAAAAAGUCAGAGCUCUACAA